rnacentral:lncRNA from 1 species
CAACUCUUACUAACCUCCUCAACACUCAAACGGAGAGCUCUGGCAAUCAAUCUGAAAUCGACCUCCUUUGGGACAUCCAAGAAGGGAGUCUGAUGCUGAAUAGGGAUGCUCAACAGGAUAGAAUACUCCUCGAGAGUCGGUGCUAACUGGUAAUCCUGGAAAGUGAAGCAUCUGAGCUCUGGAUCAUAAAACUGUAGUAGCGUCUGCAGAGGCACUGGAUCUACUACCGUCUUCAACACUGUCAAGAUAUCUCCAUACCGCCCGACAAAACUCUUCAGUCGAUCGUCUGUCACGAGGCUACCCAACUCAGCUAGCGGAGUCAACGGCUCACGGUGGAAACUGUAGGAACAGGUCUUCCGCUUCGGCUC